rnacentral:rRNA from 1 species
AUGGCUGUCGUCAGGCUCGUGUCGUGAGAUGUUGGGUUAAGUCCCGCAACGAGCGCAACCCUCGCCUCUAGUUGCCAGCAUCGGUUGGGCACUCUAGAGGGACUGCCGGCGACAAGUCGGAGGAAGGUGGGAUGACGUCAAAUCAUCAUGCCCCUUAUGACCUGGGCUACACACGUGCUACAAUGGGCGGUACAAAGGGCUGCGAACCCGCAGGGGGAGCGAAUCCCAAAAAGCCGCUCUCAGUUCGGAUUGCAGGCUGCAACUCGCCUGCAUGAAGCCGGAAUCGCUAGUAAUCGCGGAUCAGCAUGCCGCGGUGAAUACGUUCCCGGGCCUU